CAUUCCGUUCCGUUCUAUUUCUCCAUGUACCGCCAUCAGGUGAAAUUUCGAAGGUGCAGUCAAUGUUCACUGUCUAGCACAGUGUCUUUCACGGUUGUUCUGCAUUGUACCACUGACAAUGUACGAACACGCAACUCCCUGAACCGAGAGGCGAACACCUUGUUCACAUAUCCAUUGCCAGCCGCUUCUCACCACUGCUGCUGACAGUGUACGUAUGUAGGUGAUGGUGAUGACGAUGAUGGUGAUUAUUGAUUAUUAUUGAUGCCACUGCCACUGUUGCUGCUGAAUUGACGCUGUUGAUGCUAGAAUCGUUGUCGUUUUAAGCACAGCCAUCUGGUUGUCGUAUAUAUAUAUUCCCAGUUUGUUUGUUUGCCGUCAAUGUUGUUGAUGUGGCAAUGUUUAGUUUAACCACAGACGAAGUCGAGGAUUCGGAAUCUGGUGAUUUCUUGGGCUACCGCAGACAAGGUUCUCCUUCUCUCCGAUCUCAAUGUACCUGCUGCCGUGUGAAAGUUCACUGCAGUUCCAGUCCUUGGAUGCACUAUAAUGAACCUGAAGAUGAAGCAAAUCGCUGUUGGAAAAGAGCAGAGAGUGUUCCAGAUAUUGACGAGACUAAAUCUACCCCUGACAUUGAUCUGUCUCCAAUGUUUGAAAGAAUCUCCAUAGUCAACAAAUGUGGAGUUCAAGGAAAACAUUUCAGUGGUAUCCCACUGAAAGACCUCGAAGAAGCUUCCAAGAACUUAGUCAAGGCGCUUACUAUUCGAGAGAAGUACAUGAUGCUCUCUCAGCAGAGUUUCCCCCAAAUCAUCAACAGAUGUCUGCAGAGUGUGAUUGACAAGAAUGAUUUCCACAUGAUUUCUGAUGGUUGUGCUGCUUGUGAAAAGAAAACAAUCAAAGAUCACCCGAUUGAUGCACCGAGAACUGACGGAGAUCCAUUUGAUUGUAUACUGCCAAAUAGUGUGAAUUGUGAGUUCAAAAUGGUGAAUGGUGUGAUGAAAGUGUACCUCGAUAAAGCAUCCAUGGAUCAAGACAAGCCAUUUGAUUGGACAUACCCAGACUGUGCCACUUUCCUAAAUGAUCAGAAUAUCAUGUAUACACUUAUCAGUGAUGGACCAUUGAAAUCAUUCUCUUACCAGCGCCUGAGUUAUCUAUCAUACAAGUACCAGUUACAUGUUUUGUUGAAUGAGAUAAAGGAAUCAGCUGCCCAGAAAGAAGUGCCCCACCGUGAUUUCUACAACAUCAGAAAGGUGGAUACACACAUCCAUGCAUCCUCGUGCAUGAAUCAGAAACAUCUACUGAGGUUCAUCAAAAAGCAAAUGAAAGUUAAUCCCAGUGAAAUUGUCUCCUGUGGCAAGGAUGGCAAAAUGAUGAAGCUGAAAGAGGUUAUACAAUUGGUGUUUGAUAGUCUUGGAAUCAAUACAUAUGAGCUCAAUGUGGACAUGCUUGAUGUUCAUGCAGAUCGAAACACUUUCCAUCGAUUUGACAAAUUCAAUGCCAAAUACAACCCGAUUGGCCAAAGUGAAUUACGUGAAAUUUUUAUUAAAACUGACAAUCACAUCGGGGGCAAAUACUUUGCAAAUGUGAUAAAGGAAGUGAUGAGUGAUUUGGAGGAGAGCAAAUAUCAAAAUGCCGAAUGCCGUUUGUCUAUAUAUGGCCGUUCUAAACAAGAAUGGGAGAAACUAGCCAAAUGGGCUGUGGUCAACCAAGUCCAUUCAGAUAAUGUUCGUUGGUUAAUCCAAAUUCCAAGAUUAUAUGAUGUGUAUCGUUCCAACAAGUUAGUGAGCAACUUCCAACAGAUCUUAGAGAAUAUCUUCGAGCCAUUGUUUGCUGCUACAAAUGAUCCUAAGAGUUAUCCUCAGUUACAUGCUUUUCUUCAGUAUGUUUCAGGUUUUGAUUCUGUGGAUGAUGAAUCGAAAUCUGAGCAUGUGGUAUUUGAUGCUGACAGUCCCUUUCCACGCAACUGGACCAAUGAUGAGAACCCACCAUAUAAUUACUAUUUGUACUAUAUGUUUGCUAACAUGACCGUCCUCAAUCAAUUCCGCAGAGAACGUGGUUUCAAUACAUUUGUCCUUCGGCCUCAUUGUGGAGAAGCUGGCAAUGUGACUCACUUGGUGGCUGGUUAUAUGCUCAGUGAAAGCAUUGCUCAUGGACUGGUCCUCAGAAAGGUUCCAGUUCUUCAGUACCUCUACUACCUGGCUCAGAUUGGCAUUGCCAUGUCACCACUCAGCAACAAUUCACUUUUCUUGAAUUACCACAGAAAUCCUUUGCCGGAAUAUUUUGCCCGAGGACUUAAUGUUUCUAUUUCAACAGAUGACCCUCUCCAGUUCCACUUCACAAAGGAACCUCUGAUGGAAGAGUACAGUAUUGCCACCCAGGUGUGGAAGUUAAGCACUUGUGAUAUGUGUGAGAUUGCCCGCAACAGUGUUCUACAGAGUGGAUUCCCUCAUGAGGUCAAACAGCAUUGGUUAGGCCCUAAUUACACACGUGAAGGAGUUCCAGGGAAUGAUGUGAGUCGUACCAAUGUUCCAGACAUUCGAGUGGCGUACCGCUAUGAGACGCUGGUGGAAGAGUUGCAGUAUAUCUGCCGUGGACUGCAAGCUGGUAGCCCAGACAGCAACACAAGCGACAUUAGAAAAAUACAUAAACAAGCCCUUCCUCAUUUCCAUACAAAUGAUUUCACUUGCUAUUAACGUAUCCAGUAUUAAGUAGAGAUUAUGUAAUGUUUAUGUACACACAUACACACACACACACACACACACACACACACACACACACACAC
rnacentral:misc_RNA from 1 species